UACGGAGGAGGCAAGCGUUAUCCGGAAUUAUUGGGCGUAAAGCGUCCGUAGGUGGCUCUUCAAGUCUGCUGUCAAAGAGUGGGGCUUAACCCUGCAAAGGCAGUGGAAACUGAAAGGCUAGAGAGCCGUAGGGGUAGAGGGAAUUCCCGGUGUAGCGGUGAAAUGCGUAGAGAUCCGGAAGAACACCGGAGGCGAAGGCGGCUUGCUGGGCGUGAUCUGACGCUGAGGCGCGAAAGCGUGGGGAGCGAACAGG
rnacentral:rRNA from 1 species